GAUGAACGCUGGCGGCGUGCCUAAUACAUGCAAGUCGAGCGAACGGACGAGAAGCUUGCUUCUCUGAUGUUAGCGGCGGACGGGUGAGUAACACGUGGAUAACCUACCUAUAAGACUGGGAUAACUUCGGGAAACCGGAGCUAAUACCGGAUAAUAUUUUGAACCGCAUGGUUCAAAAGUGAAAGACGGUCUUGCUGUCACUUAUAGAUGGAUCCGCGCUGCAUUAGCUAGUUGGUAAGGUAACGGCUUACCAAGGCAACGAUGCAUAGCCGACCUGAGAGGGGGAGGAGCCAACAUGGGACAGGGAACCGGGUCAAACCCCAAAGGGGAGGAAGAAGGAGGAAUUCUCCAGAAAGGGGAAAAGGCCUGAAGGACAAACGCCGGGUGAGGAAGAAAGGUUUACGAAACUAAAAACUUUUUUAUGAGGAAAAAAAAUAUGUGAAAAUAACUUGGCAAAUCUGAAGGGAACAAAAUAAGAAAACCACGGAAAACUAGGUC
rnacentral:rRNA from 1 species